AGUGAACGCUGGCGGCGUGCCUAAUACAUGCAAGUCGAACGAAUUGGCGCACGGGUGAGUAAUAUAUAGUUCAUCUCCCCUAAACAGAGGAACAACAGUUGGAAACGACUGCUAAUACCUCAUAGUGUAGGAUGCGACUAUAUCGUAUCAGCAAGUUGAUAAGGCAAUGGCUUACCAAGGCUAUGACGCGUAACUGGUCUUAGAGGAUGAUCAGUAACAUUGGAACGGAGACACGGUCAAAAAACCUACGGGAGUCAGCAGUAAGGAAUCGUGCGCAAGGGGGGAAACCCUGAAACAGCAACGCCGCGUGGAGGAUGAUAAUUAGCGGAGCAUAAACGCCUUUUAACAGGAAAGCGGUACCUGAUGAAUAAGCACCGGCUAACUCCGUGCCAGCCGCCGCGGUAAUAC
rnacentral:rRNA from 1 species